AGAGCGAACGCUGGCGGCAGGCCUAACACAUGCAAGUCGAGCGCCCGUAGCAAUACACGAGCGGCAGACGGGAGAGUAACACGUGGGAACGCGCCCUUCGGUUCGGAAUAACUCAGGGAAACUUGAGCUAAUACCGGAUACGCCCUUACGGGGAAAGAUUUAUUGCCGAAGGAACGGCCCGCGUCCGAUUAGCUAGUUGGUGAGGUAACGGCUCACCAAGGCGACGAUCGGUAGCUGGUCUGAGAGGAUGACCAGCCUCACUGGGACUGAGACACGGCCCAGACUCCUACGGGAGGCAGCAGUGGGGAAUAUUGGACAAUGGGCGCAAGCCUGAUCCAGCCAUGCCGCGUGGAUGAUGAAGGCCUUAGGGUUGUAAAGUCUUUAACGGGAAGAUAAUGACGGUACCGUAGAAUAAGCCCGGCUAACUUCGCGCCAGCAGCCGC
rnacentral:rRNA from 1 species